UACGAAGGGUGCAAACGUUGCUCGGAAUUAUUGGGCGUAAAGCGCACGUAGGCGGUUUGUUAAGUCGGAUGUGAAAUCCCUCGGCUCAACUGAGGAAGUGCAUCCGAAACUGGCAGGCUUGAGUACUAAAGAGGGUCGCGGAAUUCCCGGUGUAGAGGUGAAAUUCGUAGAUAUCGGGAGAACACCGGUGGCGAAGGCGGCUCUCGGUGGAGAGUACUGACGCUGAGAGCGAAAGCGUGGGGAGCAAACAGG
rnacentral:rRNA from 1 species